rnacentral:rRNA from 1 species
CAGUAGCCGCGGGAAUACAGAGGGUGCAAGCGUUAAUCGGAAUUACUGGGCGUAAAGGGCGCGUAGGUGGUUGCGUAAGUGAGAUGUGAAAUCCCCGGGCUUAACCUGGAACGUGCAUCUUAUACUGCGUAACUGGAGUGCAAGAGAGGGUAGUGGAAUUCCCGGUGUAGCGGUGAAAUGCGUAGAGAUCGGGAGGAACAUCAGUGGCGAAGGCGGCCAUCUGGGACAACACUGACGCUGAGGCUCGAAGGCCAGGGUAGCGAAAGGGAUUAGAUACCCGCGUAGUCCCUGUCUCUUAUAC